CUGAAUACAUAGGUUAACGAGGCGAACCGGGGGAACUGAAACAUCUAAGUACCCCGAGGAAAAGAAAUCAACCGAGAUUCCCCCAGUAGCGGCGAGCGAACGGGGAGCAGCCCGGAGUCUGAAUCAGCUUGUGUGUUAGUGGAACGGUCUGGAAAGUCCGACGGUACAGGGUGAUAGUCCCGUACACGAAAGCACACAUGCUGUGAACUCGAAGAGUAGGGCGGGACACGUGGUAUCCUGUCUGAAUAUGGGGGGACCAUCCUCCAAGGCUAAAUACUCCUGACUGACCGAUAGUGAACCAGUACCGUGAGGGAAAGGCGAAAAGAACCCCGGCGAGGGGAGUGAAAAAGAACCUGAAACCGUGUACGUACAAGCAGUGGGAGCCUCUUUAUGGGGUGACUGCGUACCUUUUGUAUAAUGGGUCAGCGACUUAUAUUCUGUAGCAAGGUUAACCGUAUAGGGGAGCCGAAGGGAAACCGAGUCUUAACUGGGCGUUAAGUUGCAGGGUAUAGACCCGAAACCCGGUGAUCUAGCCAUGGGCAGGUUGAAGGUUGGGUAACACUAACUGGAGGACCGAACCGACUAAUGUUGAAAAAUUAGCGGAUGACCUGUGGCUGGGGGUGAAAGGCCAAUCAAACCGGGAGAUAGCUGGUUCUCCCCGAAAGCUAUUUAGGUAGCGCCUCGUGAAYUCAUCUUCGGGGGUAGAGCACUGUUUCGGCUAGGGGGCCAUCCCGGCUUACCAACCCGAUGCAAACUACGAAUACCGAAGAAUGUUAUCACGGGAGACACACGGCGGGUGCUAACGUCCGUCGUGAAGAGGGAAACAACCCAGACCGCCAGCUAAGGUCCCAAAGUCAUGGUUAAGUGGGAAACGAUGUGGGAAGGCACAGACAGCCAGGAUGUUGGCUUAGAAGCAGCCAUCAUUUAAAGAAAGCGUAAUAGCUCACUGGUCGAGUCGGCCUGCGCGGAAGAUGUAACGGGGCUAAACCAUGCACCGAAGCUGCGGCAGCGAC
rnacentral:rRNA from 1 species